UGAAUACGAGAUGCUACGGCGUCGAAGCAGUCUAUGUCAUACUUCCAAGAAAAGCUUGCACUGUCAUAAACAAAUAAUGCCUGUACCAUAACCGACACAGGUGGGUAGGUAGAGUAUUCUAAGGGGCGCGAGAUAACUCUCUCUAAGGAACUCGGCAAAAUGACUCCGUAACUUCGGGAGAAGGAGUGCCUUAUUUAUAAGGUUGCAAUAACAAGAUCCAAGCAACUGUUUACCAAAAACACAGGUCUCCGCUGAGUCGUAAGACGAUGUAUGGGGGCUGACGCCUGCCCAGUGCCAGAAGGUUAAAGAAGUUGGUUAGCAUCCGCGAAGCUGAUAACUGAAGCCCUGGUGAACGGCGGCCGUAACUAUAACGGUCCUAAGGUAGCGAAAUUCCUUGUCGGGUAAGUUCCGACCCGCACGAAAGGCGUAAUGAUUUGGAUACUGUCUCGGAGAGGGGCUCGGUGAAAUAGACUUGUCUGUGAAGAUGCGGACUACCUGCACCAGGACAGAAAGACCCUAUGAAGCUUUACUGUAACCUGAAAUUGAAAUUGGACUUUACUUGCGCAGUAUAGGUGGGAGGCGUUGAGAAUAUUCUUGCGGGAUUAUUGGAGCCAUCAGUGAGAUACCACUCUUGUAAUGUUAGAUUUCUAACUUUGUAUCAUUAUCUGGUCAAAGAACAGUUUCAGGCGGGCAGUUUGACUGGGGCGGUCGCCUCCUAAACGGUAACGGAGGCGCACAAAGGUUUCCUCUGAACGGGUAGAAAUCGUAUCUAGAGUGUAAAGGCAUAAGGAAGCUUGACUGUGAGACCUACAAGUCGAGCAGGGACGAAAGUCGGUCUUAGUGAUCUGACGGUGCUGAGUGGAAAGGCCGUCACUCAACGGAUAAAAGUUACUCUAAGGAUGACAGGCUGAUCUCCCCCAAGAGUUCACAUCGACGGGGAGGUUUGGCACCUCGAUGUCGGCUCAUCGCAUCCUGGGGCGGUAGUACGUCCCAAGGGUUGGGCUGUUCGCCCAUGAAAGCGGUACGCGAGCUGGGUUCAGAACGUCGUGAGACAGUUCGGUCCAUAUCCGGUGUAGGCGUUAGAAUAUUGAGAGGAGCCUUCUUUAGUACGAGAGGACCGAGAAGGACAUACCUCUGGUGUACCAGUUAUCGUGCCAACGGUAAACGCUGGGUAGCUAUGUGUGGAGUGGAUAACCGCUGAAAGCAUCUAAGUGGGAAGCCCACCUCAAGAUGAGUGCUCUCACAGGGUUAACCUGGUAAGGUCACGGGAAGACCACCCGUUAAUAGGCACUAGGUGGAAGUCCAGUAAUGGAUGGAGCCAAGGUGUACUAACAGACCGAGGGCUUGACC
rnacentral:rRNA from 1 species